rnacentral:rRNA from 1 species
ACGGGAGGCAGCAGUGGGGAAUAUUGGACAAUGGGCGAAAGCCUGAUGCAGCGACGCCGCGUGGGUGAUGAAGUAUUUCGGUACGUAAAGCCCUAUCAGCAGGGAAGAUAAUGACGGUACCUGACUAAGAAGCUCCGGCUAAAUACGUGCCAGCAGCCGCGGUAAUACGUAUGGAGCAAGCGUUAUCCGGAUUUACUGGGUGUAAAGGGAGCGCAGGCGGUUAAGUAAGUUGGAUGUGAAAAUCCGGGGCUCAACUCCGGACCUGCAUCCAAAACUGCAUAACUAGAGUAUCGGAGGGGCAAGCGGAAUUCCUAGUGUAGCGGUGAAAUGCGUAGAUAUUAGGAGGAACACCAGUGGCGAAGGCGGCUUGCUGGACGAAAACUGACGCUGAGGCGCGAAAGCGUGGGGAGCAAACAGGAUUAGAUACCCUGGUA